rnacentral:misc_RNA from 1 species
UAUUUUUCUGCUUUCUGAUUUGUUUGGUUGGUUGUGUGAAGGAGAUAGCUUUUCCUUUUCAGGCCUGUGUUCUUGAAGAACUGUUGGGGUUUGAAAAGGAAGAGCUGCUCCAGGUUCUGUCAACUGAGAAUGCAGGGUUGGAAGUGUAAAUGAAAUGUAAUGUGUUCUCAAUUUUGAGUGUUACAGGAUGCUGUUGUCUUUCCUAUAUCAUUGUUUGUGUGUGUUAAGCCUGUUGCAAGCAUUAGAUUUGGUCUGGACACCAAUGGGGAUGAACAGUGGUAUGGGAGAGAUGCAGCAUUCAUGUGACUUGAGAAGAAGUGAAAAC